AACUCCGCAUUUAAGCGUGUGGGGGGGGAGAGUAGUAUAGGGAGGGGUGCCCCCGGGAGAAGUCCUGUUGUCCCCCCC
rnacentral:rRNA from 1 species